CAUUGAAUGGCUGAAUCAUAAGCAAUGGUCUCUUAAACCAAUCUAUAGUAUAAUAUACUUUCAAUGA
rnacentral:tRNA from 1 species